GCAGGUAUGUAAAUCACAGAGGAGAGCACGCAUCGCGUUGGAUGCAGGCCAAUGUCCUGCCGGGGGAUUGCGCCACUGGGAUCGAGCGCUAUCCAAGGCCGACAAUUGCUCAGCUUUGGUCCUCGAUGGUGUUUCGUAAGAACGACCCAUAUAACGAACUUGACGCGACGCGUGGCGCCCACCCUCCUCCUCUUCUUUUCAUCUCCGGUGAAAGGUGCUCUCGCGAAUCUCGAGGACGCUCGACCGUUUUAUCCGUGAAUUCCCUUUCUCCUGAAUCGCGUGGUGGUGCGGCAGCGAGAGCAAACCUCGCUGGAAUCGACCCGCCUCUUGCACGGGAACGGAAAUUGGCGCGGAUACCGCAAAGAUCGCUCGCAUCAAGGAGAAUGCCCCCAUAGACUCGAUUCCCUAUGGCUAGAUUCGAUCACGUGGCCGAUAGAGUUUCAACGACACCUGGCUGCUUCUAAGUAAGUAAAAUAGGUAGGGGUAUAUACACGGACAAAUGGACGGACACCCAACAUGGAGGGACAAAGAGAAAGAGAGAGAUUUCUAUCAGCACUUAGAGCAACUAUGCGCUUAAAACUUUACGGGCAAACUUUCUUUUCCUCUCUCUCCACCUCCUUUUAUUCCCCCCCUGCUAAACUCUUCCCCGUGGAAUAAAAGUGUUGUUGUAAAAGUACGUUGCUCUCAGUCGGAGAUAUGCAACUAUCGUGCACGACCUUUUUUUCUUUUUUCUUUUCGCUGUCAUCGUCCUAUAAACGACACGUUUAAAGUUUCUGGAACUGGGGAGGGGAAGGGGGGAAGGGAAGUUUGCUUACGAAACGCGAUCGAACGCGAAACGAUGUCUACGUCACUGUCGGCACCGUCAACUCUCCGCCGGUUCACUAUAUCCGCCCCGUCAUCGUCGAGGUUCCGAGAAUUCCCACAAAUGAAUGUCCACGAUCGAAUUUGUCCGUCCGUCGAAAUAAAUAAAUAAAUGAGUAAAUAAAUGAAAAAAAAAAA